UAAAGUUAUAAAAAAACGAGAGCAGCUCUCCUGCCUAUUUUUUUAUUUCCCUUUUUUUUUCCUUCUCUUCUGCUCCAUUGCCAGCGAGUUUCCAACUGUUGGUCUUAUCAUUAUUAUUCCCAGUCUUCUUCUGAUCUCUUCCUCCAUUGUGGAAGAGAGCUCCCCAAGAGCACCUUCACCUCUUCUAAUAUCGUAGAGAGAUGCCCCCGAGAGGCUUUGUUCUGGUCUUUUUCUUCUGGGCUCUUCUCAGCAUCAUCACCCCAACUCUCAUCUUUUGGUCAGCGUCGGCAAGACCCAAUCUGGGUUCUCAAGGAGAGUCUAGGAGUGAGAUGAGAACCAGGAGGAUGAUGGAUUCUAUGAAGAAUAAAACAACAACGACGACGACGACAAUUACACAACCACCGACACCGGCGCCGGCGCCGGCGCCGGAGCCGGCAACCGGCAUCGAUGACAGCAAAUGAAACACUUUGGUAACGGAGAUUUUUUUAUGUGCCUAUUUAUUUAUUCUCAAGACGGAGGGAAGCAUAGAAGAGGAGCGGAUGUCUGCUUGGUAAUAAAUGGAUGUCCUGAUCUACUGGACUUCUUAUUUAUGAGAAGGUUGGAUGGAUCGUCUUCUGCCAUUUUAAUUUAGAGGGAAGGGGUGAUUUGUUUUUCCCUAUAAAAUUCCAUUGGAAUUGACUGAUACAAUUUUAAGUUAAUUCACAUUUUCUCUUUCUUAAAUUGUAUUUUAGAAAGAAAUCAUGAAUUGUAUUUCAUGCCAACGAUUUAUUCUUUAAAAUUUUGUGGUAAAUAACUAGAGGAAAUUGGAGUGUGCACUGCA